UCUUCCACAAUGGACGAAAGUCUGAUGGAGCAAUGCCGCGUGAGUGAAGAAGGUUUUCGGAUCGUAAAGCUCUGUUGCGAGGGAAGAACACGUACGGGAGUAACUGCCCGUACCUUGACGGUACCUCGUCAGAAAGCCACGGCUAACUACGUGCCAGCAGCCGCGGUAAUACGUAGGUGGCAAGCGUUGUCCGGAAUUAUUGGGCGUAAAGCGCGCGCAGGCGGUCCUUUAAGUCUGAUGUGAAAGCCCACGGCUCAACCGUGGAGGGUCAUUGGAAACUGGGGGACUUGAGUACAGAAGAGGAAAGCGGAAUUCCACGUGUAGCGGUGAAAUGCGUAGAGAUGUGGAGGAACACCAGUGGCGAAGGCGGCUUUCUGGUCUGUAACUGACGCUGAGGCGCGAAAGCGUGGGGAGCAAACAGGAUUAGAUACCCUGGUAGUCCACGCCGUAAACGAUGAGUGCUAAGUGUUAGGGGGUUUCCGCCCCUUAGUGCUGCAGCU
rnacentral:rRNA from 1 species